rnacentral:tRNA from 1 species
GAGGGUAUAGCUCAGUGGUACAGUGCAUGCCUAGCAUGCACGAUGUCCUGGGUUCAAGCCCCAGUACUUCCA